GAUUGUCCAGAAGUUUCCACAACAACUAUCAUUACUAUUCAGUUUAAAUAAUACGUCCCAUACCGUAUCCCAAAUAAUAAAACAAGUUAUUACAGAUAAGUAUCUAGUCAAGUAUACUGUUCCGACAACUCAGAUUUAAAUAAAAAUAUAAAUAUUGUUCAAUUGCUUCUAGAGACUCGAUCUGCAAGAUCUACAGACAACUAUGCUCUAGACGCUUAUUCCUAGCUCGCCUUCCUAGCAGAUAAGCAUCCUAAUUGCCUGUCACAUACGUUAAAAUAAAGUCAAUACAUGAAAUGUAAAGGUGAGCAUACAAGUUUGAUAUAGCAUAUAGAGUUCGAAAUAGUUUACGCAUAACCAGCAUGUGCAUAGAGGAAAACGAAGCAUGUUAAUUAUCGACAUGGAUCUAUCGAUACCAAUGACUGCGGGUUGACUGUCCGAGACAGUUCGCAAUACAUGAUUACCACCGUAAUCCAUGCAGUAAUUGUCCUUAACAACCUCCGUGUGAACGGGUGCUGAGUCCAAACUAUAGUACUACGUCGUUAAGGCAGGUAGACAGCAUUCCACGUGUAAACAUAACAACAAGCAUUCAUUUAGUCACGUAAUACAUGCAGAACGGUUAGCGUUUAAAUAGUUGAGUAGUGUGUUCGAUUGUGAUUUAGAUAAGUAACGUAUGUAACACCUAAAAGUGCUAAAGCAAAAAGGGUUCGAGUAUACUCACAGCGAUUGAUUGAUGGAUUGAAGGGAGCGCUUGAGAGUAGG
rnacentral:lncRNA from 1 species